rnacentral:rRNA from 1 species
GGGUUGUGAGGUUAAGCGACUAAGCGUACACGGUGGAUGCCCUGGCAGUCAGAGGCGAUGAAGGACGUGCUAAUCUGCGAAAAGCGUCGGUAAGGUGAUAUGAACCGUUACAGCCGGCGAUGUCCGAAUGGGGAAACCCAGUGCAAUUCGUUGCACUAUCGUUAACUGAAUACAUAGGUUAACGAGGCGAACCGGGGGAACUGAAACAUCUAAGUACCCCGAGGAAAAGAAAUCAACCGAGAUUCCCCCAGUAGCGGCGAGCGAACGGGGAGCAGCCCAGAGUCUGAAUCAGCUUGUGUGUUAGUGGAACGGUCUGGAAAGUCCGACGGUACAGGGUGAUAGUCCCGUACACCAAAAUGCACAGGCUGUGAACUCGAAGAGUAGGGCGGGACACGUGGUAUCCUGUCUGAAUAUGGGGGGACCAUCCUCCAAGGCUAAAUACUCCUGACUGACCGAUAGUGAACCAGUACCGUGAGGGAAAGGCGAAAAGAACCCCGGCGAGGGGAGUGAAAAAGAACCUGAAACCGUGUACGUACAAGCAGUGGGAGCACCUUCGGGUGUGACUGCGUACCUUUUGUAUAAUGGGUCAGCGACUUAUAUUCUGUAGCAAGGUUAACCGUAUAGGGGAGCCGCAGGGAAACCGAGUCUUAACUGGGCGUUAAGUUGCAGGGUAUAGACCCGAAACCCGGUGAUCUAGCCAUGGGCAGGUUGAAGGUUGGGUAACACUAACUGGAGGACCGAACCGACUAAUGUUGAAAAAUUAGCGGAUGACUUGUGGCUGGGGGUGAAAGGCCAAUCAAACCGGGAGAUAGCUGGUUCUCCCCGAAAGCUAUUUAGGUAGCGCCUCGUGAAUUCAUCUUCGGGGGUAGAGCACUGUUUCGGCUAGGGGGUCAUCCCGACUUACCAACCCGAUGCAAACUACGAAUACCGAAGAAUGUUAUCACGGGAGACACACGGCGGGUGCUAACGUCCGUCGUGAAGAGGGAAACAACCCAGACCGCCAGCUAAGGUCCCAAAGUCAUGGUUAAGUGGGAAACGAUGUGGGAAGGCACAGACAGCCAGGAUGUUGGCUUAGAAGCAGCCAUCAUUUAAAGAAAGCGUAAUAGCUCACUGGUCGAGUCGGCCUGCGCGGAAGAUGUAACGGGGCUAAACCAUGCACCGAAGCUGCGGCAGCGACACUAUGUGUUGUUGGGUAGGGGAGCGUUCUGUAAGCCUGCGAAGGUGUGCUGUGAGGCAUGCUGGAGGUAUCAGAAGUGCGAAUGCUGACAUAAGUAACGAUAAAGCGGGUGAAAAGCCCGCUCGCCGGAAGACCAAGGGUUCCUGUCCAACGUUAAUCGGGGCAGGGUGAGUCGACCCCUAAGGCGAGGCCGAAAGGCGUAGUCGAUGGGAAACAGGUUAAUAUUCCUGUACUUGGUGUUACUGCGAAGGGGGGACGGAGAAGGCUAUGUUAGCCGGGCGACGGUUGUCCCGGUUUAAGCAUGUAGGCUGGUUAUCCAGGCAAAUCCGGAUAAUCAAGGCUGAGGUGUGAUGACGAGGCACUACGGUGCUGAAGUAACAAAUGCCCUGCUUCCAGGAAAAGCCUCUAAGCAUCAGGUAACAUCAAAUCGUACCCCAAACCGACACAGGUGGUCAGGUAGAGAAUACCAAGGCGCUUGAGAGAACUCGGGUGAAGGAACUAGGCAAAAUGGUGCCGUAACUUCGGGAGAAGGCACGCUGGUGUGUAGGUGAAGCCCCUGCGGGUGGAGCUGAGACCAGUCGAAGAUACCAGCUGGCUGCAACUGUUUAUUAAAAACACAGCACUGUGCAAACACGAAAGUGGACGUAUACGGUGUGACGCCUGCCCGGUGCCGGAAGGUUAAUUGAUGGGGUUAUCCGUAAGGAGAAGCUCUUGAUCGAAGCCCCGGUAAACGGCGGCCGUAACUAUAACGGUCCUAAGGUAGCGAAAUUCCUUGUCGGGUAAGUUCCGACCUGCACGAAUGGCGUAAUGAUGGCCAGGCUGUCUCCACCCGAGACUCAGUGAAAUUGAACUCGCUGUGAAGAUGCAGUGUACCCGCGGCAAGACGGAAAGACCCCGUGAACCUUUACUAUAGCUUGACACUGAACAUUGAGCCUUGAUGUGUAGGAUAGGUGGGAGGCUUUGAAGCGUGGACGCCAGUCUGCGUGGAGCCAACCUUGAAAUACCACCCUUUAAUGUUUGAUGUUCUAACGUUGGCCCCUGACCGGGGUUGCGGACAGUGUCUGGUGGGUAGUUUGACUGGGGCGGUCUCCUCCUAAAGCGUAACGGAGGAGCACGAAGGUUAGCUAAUCCUGGUCGGACAUCAGGAGGUUAGUGCAAUGGCAUAAGCUAGCUUGACUGCGAGCGUGACGGCGCGAGCAGGUGCGAAAGCAGGUCAUAGUGAUCCGGUGGUUCUGAAUGGAAGGGCCAUCGCUCAACGGAUAAAAGGUACUCCGGGGAUAACAGGCUGAUACCGCCCAAGAGUUCAUAUCGACGGCGGUGUUUGGCACCUCGAUGUCGGCUCAUCACAUCCUGGGGCUGAAGUAGGUCCCAAGGGUAUGGCUGUUCGCCAUUUAAAGUGGUACGCGAGCUGGGUUUAGAACGUCGUGAGACAGUUCGGUCCCUAUCUGCCGUGGGCGCUGGAGAAUUGAGGGGGGCUGCUCCUAGUACGAGAGGACCGGAGUGGACGCAUCACUGGUGUUCGGGUUGUCAUGCCAAUGGCACUGCCCGGUAGCUAAAUGCGGAAGAGAUAAGUGCUGAAAGCAUCUAAGCACGAAACUUGCCCCGAGAUGAGUUCUCCCUGAGACUUUAAGUCUCCUGAAGGAACGUUAAAGACGAUGACGUUGAUAGGCCGGGUGUGUAAGCGCAGCGAUGCGUUGAGCUAACCGGUACUAAUGAACCGUGAGGCUUAACCUUACAACGCCGAAG